rnacentral:lncRNA from 1 species
GGCGCCACCAACAGACCGCCGGACGGACAGAGUCUCCCCUGUACAUCCGAGGCGUCGCAAUCAAAACAAUACGAGAGAUUCCAACCAGGAACAGUAUUCACUCACAGAUUGCAUAAGGAAGUAUCAAAAAUAUAAACUACUAAGUUAUUACGGCAUUCAACUUAGAUGCAUUUUACAACAUAAUUUUUCUUUUACAAUCAAUCUCCAAAUACAAUCAUAAUUAGCACAUCGUUUACUUAUUACAAUUUGAUACAUCUUGAUA